GCAGCAUGAAUAAGAGCAGGAGGAGGUCAGUUAUUGGUUUUGAUCAACAGCCUUCUUUUUUUUUUUAAUCAUGAGAUUAGGAGAAAUGGUGGAAAUGUUCAGUUUUAGAUAUUGAGGCUCAUGAAUUUUAAAAAACACUGCUUUAUAAGGAUGUAGGAUCAUUUUGCUAUAAAGCUACAGCUUAGCUUAUCUAAAAGACACAAAGAACAACUAUCCUGGCAGUCCAUCCACCUGCCAGCUCACAUUCAUUCAGCAUGAGGGUGUAGGAAGUGUUCAUUACCAUUUUAAGAUUUAAAGUUGUAGGGUUGGCUAAAUCAAACCCCUCAGUUUAACCCCACCUGCCCUCUUUCUUCUUUUUGUUGUUGUUGUUGUUGUUGCAGUCAGCAAACAAAAGCGAGGUGUUAAUGUGGUGAUACUCCAGCGACUUUUUGUGCCAACCUGUGACACGUGCAGUGUAAGAACCGUUAGCUGAGAGUUUAAAACUUAUUUAUCAUGGUUUUAAGUGUCCUGCGCUUAAAAACGCUAUUUUAACACAGUCUAUCAGACAGCAUCAAUGAGAAUUUUUAUGCAAUACAUAACAAAUACAUGGAUUUAAUAAAGCUGUGUAAUUAAAUCAACUUCUAUAUUUCAUACUUUGUUUUCUUUAACUGUUUAUAUAAUUACUCAUUAACUGAAAAUGUCUAUUUUGAUGGACAGCAAUGUUUCUUAUAUUAAAACAGCAUGUGUUAAGGUACAUAGCCAUACAUUCAUAACCCAUGUCCUUAAAGUCUUCCUGUCUUACUUCUUUGGCUCUGCUAUAUGGUCAUACUUACACUUUGUAAGAGUCUGUAUGUCUGUGCCCAUAAUCCUUUCUGUGAAAGGAUCGCCCUGCAGGUAAAAAUGUUUUUUGUCACCUUGUUGUUCAAAAAAAAAGAAGAAAAAAAAAGAUUUGUUAUAAUGAAGUCUGGUCCGUGCCUUCUUGGUACUAAUGCCCUCAAUAGCCAAUAAAUAGGUACAUUUAUCUACC
ensembl:lncRNA